UAGGAAGAACGGACCUGGACACAGGGAAUUUUAAAGUUUACUUUGGAUAGAAGUUCAGGACAGUCGAUCGAUCCAUUUAUGAGUUUGACUAGGAAGACCUUGUUAAUGGUGAUACGUCUAUCGGCCAAAAACUAUAUGCUGCAAAACUCAAAAACUUCCGUUGGACUCUUUCAAGUUGAUUCAUAUUGCUUAUGUUGUGAGGAAUCCAUAUAAUUACAGAAAAUUCAAGAAUAGAUCUGAUGAGCGCACAAUAUAAGGCUUUUAGUGGAGUUAUCAACUUAAAUUCGUUACAAACCCGCUUAAGAAAUCCAAGAGCUUUUAAAGCUUUACAGCAUGUCGCAUCUAUAUGGUUAUAAAAAUUUAAGUUACUAUCAUAGAAAACUCCGAGGUCUUUCACAGUAUUCGAUUCAAUAACAAGAUAGGUUCCACGAAAUGAGUAUUUAAAAUCCAACCCAGGCGUCCAGUGCCCACAAGUUAUUUUGAAGUAAUUGACAGUCAUGUACUGAGCGAAUUUCUAGAAAUAGCUUUAAGUCAUCUGC